UCGAGAAUUUUUCUCAAUGGGGGAAACCCUGAAGGAGCGACGCCGCGUGGAGGAUGAAGGUCUUCGGAUUGUAAACUCCUGUCAUUAGGGAACAAUGUGCAGCCAUUAACUGUGGUUGUAUUGAUAGUACCUGAAGAGGAAGAGACGGCUAACUCUGUGCCAGCAGCCGCGGUAAUACAGAGGUCUCAAGCGUUGUUCGGAUUCAUUGGGCGUAAAGGGUGCGUAGGUGGCGCCAUAAGUCAGGUGUGAAAUCUCGGGGCUCAACCCCGAAACUGCACUUGAUACUGUGGUGCUGGAGUACUGGAGAGGAGAUUGGAAUUUACGGUGUAGCAGUGAAAUGCGUAGAUAUCGUAAGGAAGACCAGUGGCGAAGGCGAAUCUCUGGACAGUUACUGACACUGAGGCACGAAGGCCAGGGGAGCAAACG
rnacentral:rRNA from 1 species